rnacentral:rRNA from 1 species
UACGUAGGGAGCUAGCGUUGUCCGGAAUCAUUGGGCGUAAAGCGCGCGUAGGCGGCCCGGUAAGUCCGCUGUGAAAGUCAAAGGCUCAACCUUUGAAUGUCAGCGGAUACUGCCGGGCUAGAGUCCGGAAGAGGCGAGUGGAACUCCUGGUGUAGCGGUGGAAUGCGCAGAUAUCAGGAAGAACACCGAAGGCGAAGGCAGUGUCCUGGCGAGUGACUGACGCUGAGGUGCGAAAGCCAGGGGAGCGAACGGG